rnacentral:tRNA from 1 species
UGGCGGCCGGAGGGAUUGAUCCCGGCGCCGCGCCCGCGCCGCCGCGCCUGUGCAAUGCCGGCGUCGCCAA